rnacentral:rRNA from 1 species
CACGUAGGGGGCGAGCGUUGUCCGGAUUUAUUGGGCGUAAAGAGCUCGUAGGCGGUUUGGCAAGUCGGGUGUGAAAUUUCGAGGCUCAACCUCGAAACGCCACUCGAUACUGCCAUGACUGGAGUCCGGUAGAGGAGUGCGGAAUUCCUGGUGUAGCGGUGAAAUGCGCAGAUAUCAGGAGGAACACCGAUGGCGAAGGCAGGUCUCUGGGCCGAUACUGACGCUGAGGAGCGAAAGCGUGGGGAGCGAACAGG